rnacentral:rRNA from 2 species
CUUGGUCAUUUAGAGGAAGUAAAAGUCGUAACAAGGUUUCCGUAGGUGAACCUGCGGAAGGAUCAUUAACCUUUCAAAUCAGGGUGCGGCGCGGCCCCCGAGGAGCGGAAACAAUCCUUGGGAGGUAUGCGGGGGCUUCGAGCCCCCCAUUUACGCACGCACGACUGCCAUCCUUACUUUACGAGCACCUUCUGUUCUCCCUCGGCGGGGCAACCUGCCGUUGGAACCGAAUAAACUCUUUUUGCAUCUAGCAUUACCUGUUCCGAAACAAACAAUCGUUACAACUUUCAACAAUGGAUCUCUUGGCUCUGGCAUCGAUGAAGAACGCAGCGAAAUGCGAUAAGUAGUGUGAAUUGCAGAAUUCAGUGAAUCAUCGAAUCUUUGAACGCACAUUGCGCCCCUCGGUAUUCCGUGGGGCAUGCCUGUUCGAGCGUCAUCUACACCCUCAAGCUCUGCUUGGUGUUGGGCGUCUGUCCCGCCUCCGCGCGUGGACUCGCCCCAAAUUCAUUGGCAGCGGUCCUUGCCUCCUCUCGCGCAGCACAUUGCGCUUCUCGAGGGGCUACGGCUCGCGUCCAACAAGCACAUUUACCGUCUUUGACCUCGGAUCAGGUAGGGAUACCCGCUGAACUUAAGCAUAUCAAUAAGCGGAGGA